UUUCUUGACCUGGGUCAGCGUAUCGCCAUCCUCCCGGCGCACCUUUCGCCAAUAUUGAUCCUGGUCAAUUUUCCCUACAUUUCUUGUGGCUAACUUAGAGCCAUCAACAGGGGGGCAGCGCAGGAGACCGCCAUGUUUAUCGAUGAAGUGGUACUCGCCGGAAUUCUCACGGUCGGUCUGAUGAUCGUGUUCUGUGGCGGUGUCGGAUAUUUCAUCUGGAAGGACUCGCACAAGCGCAAGCAAGGCUGAGCCCUUCCGGCAACGAGCACGCAAGGCACUUCGGGCGACUUCGGUCGCCCUUU
rnacentral:misc_RNA from 1 species